GUUGUAUGGUUAAGUGACUAAGCGUACACGGUGGAUGCCUUGGCAGUCAGAGGCGAUGAAGGACGUACUAACUUGCGAUAAGCGCAGAUAAGGCAGUAAGAGCCGUUUGAGUCUGCGAUUUCCGAAUGGGGAAACCCAACUGCAUAAGCAGUUACUGUUAACUGAAUCCAUAGGUUAACAGAGCAAACCGGGGGAACUGAAACAUCUAAGUACCCCGAGGAGAAGAAAUCAACCGAGAUUCCGGUAGUAGCGGCGAGCGAACCUGGAUUAGCCCUUAAGCACUCGUUGAAGUAGGUGAACAAGCUGGAAAGCUUGGCGAUACAGGGUGAUAGCCCCGUAACCGACGCUUCAUCGAGCGUGAAAUCGAGUAGGGCGGGACACGUGAUAUCCUGUCUGAAUAUGGGGGGACCAUCCUCCAAGGCUAAAUACUCCUGACUGACCGAUAGUGAACCAGUACCGUGAGGGAAAGGCGAAAAGAACCCCUGUGAGGGGAGUGAAAUAGAACCUGAAACCGUGUACGUACAAGCAGUAGGAGCACCUUCRUGGUGUGACUGCGUACCUUUUGUAUAAUGGGUCAGCGACUUAUAUUCAGUGGCAAGGUUAACCAUCUAGGGGAGCCGUAGGGAAACCGAGUCUUAACUGGGCGYCAUAGUCUCUGGAUAUAGACCCGAAACCGAGUGAUCUAGCCAUGGGCAGGUUGAAGGUUGAGUAACAUCAACUGGAGGACCGAACCGACUAAUGUUGAAAAAUUAGCGGAUGACUUGUGGCUAGGGGUGAAAGGCCAAUCAAACUCGGAGAUAGCUGGUUCUCCCCGAAAGCUAUUUAGGUAGCGCCUCGGACGAAUACUACUGGGGGUAGAGCACUGUUAAGGCUARGGGGGUCAUCCCGACUUACCAACCCUUUG
rnacentral:rRNA from 1 species